rnacentral:sRNA from 1 species
UUUUUUUUUAUAAAUAGAGAGGCAUCUCAUUAAGAGAGAUGGGACAAAUAAAAAAGAUGGGAGAAGAAACCCAAACUUCAAACAACUGCUCUAUUCAUCCAACUUGGGUUCAACUGCUCUUUUCUUUCAUCAUGUCGUUUGACUGCUUAUUUCGUCCAACUGACACUAAACUAUUACGCUCGUCUAUCUCGUUGAUUGACAGUUUAGUUCGUCCAACCUGGCAUCCAACUACUCUGUUCGUCCAUCUAGUUGCUUGAAUGCUCAGUUUGUCCAACUUGGCGUUCAAUUGCUUAGUCCAUCCAUCUCAUCGCAUGACUUUGUUUGACUGCUAGUUCGUCACUCAAACUGCGUAGCUCGUCGUCCAGAUUGACUAGCUCUUAGUUAUUGUAAUAUGAACUACGAAUUAUUUGUCCAUUUCUAUGAAUAUGUAGGCAGCCUUUUACAAUGCACAUCUAUAAACUAAAUAAACUAUGUGUUCGUCAUGAGAACUACUUAACUUCUGAACUUCACAGUUGUCAUGAAAUUUUUUUUCCUUGUAAACAAACUUACAAUAUUUUAUCAAAAUCUAUGCAUAAACAUUUUCGAUUCUUGUCG